AAUCAACGCUGGCGGCGUGCCUAACACAUGCAAGUCGAACGCGAAAGUCCCGCAAGGGAUUAGUAGAGUGGCAAACGGGUGAGUAACACGUGGGUGACCUGCCUUCGAGUGGGGGAUAACGUCCCGAAAGGGACGCUAAUACCGCAUAACAUCCUGCCUUUUAAGAGGUGGAGAUCAAAGCUGGGGACCGUAAGGCCUGGCGCUGGAAGAGGGGCCCGCGUCUGAUUAGCUAGUUGGUGAGGAACGGCUCACCAAGGCAACGAUCAGUAUCCGGCCUGAGAGGGGCGGACGGACACACUGGGACUGAGACACGGCCCAGACUCCUACGGGAGGCAGCAGUGGGGAAUUGUUCGCAAUGGGCGCAAGCCUGACGACGCAACGCCGCGU
rnacentral:rRNA from 1 species